rnacentral:pre_miRNA from 1 species
CGGGGGAGGCGGGAUCCUGGGGUGUGUCCCGGUGCCCUGUGCUCCGGAGCCUGCGCUGUUGGAUUCGCGCUCCCGGGCCGCGCAACCCCCC